CGGCCACCGCUAUUGGUAUUCGAUUAAGACAUGCGAGUCGAGAGACGUAAGGUCUCGGCGGACCGCUGAGUAACACGCGGAUAACAUGCCCUGGGGUGGGGGAUAACCUCGGGAAACUGAGAAUAAUACCCCAUAGGUUUAGGGUGCUGGAAUGCUUCUAUGCUGAAAACUCCGGUGCCCCAGGAUUGGUCUGCGGCUUAUCAGGUUGUAGUGGGUGUAACGGACCCACUAGCCUAUGACGAGUAUGGGCCUUGAGAGAGGAAGCCCACAGAUGGACUCUGAGACAUGAGUCCAGGCCCUACGGGGCGCAGCAGUCGCGAAAACUUCACAAUGGGAGAAAUCCCGAUGAGGGAAUACCAAGUGCCAGCACUUUUGUGUUGGCUGUUCCCCUGUCUAAAAAACAGGAGAAGUAAGGGCCGGGUAAGACGGGUGCCAGCCGCCGCGGUAAUACCCGCGGCCCGAGUGGUGGUCGAUAUUAUUGAGCCUAAAACGUCCGUAGCCGGUCUCAUAAAUCCUUGGGUAAAUCGGCCAGCUUAACUGUCCGAAGUCCGAGGAGACUGUGAGACUUGGGAUCGGGAGAGGUCAGAGGUACUUCUGGGGUAGGGGUAAAAUCCUGUAAUCCUGGAAGGACCACCGGUGGCGAAGGCGUCUGACUAGAACGAAUUCGACGGUGAGGGACGAAGCCCUGGGGCGCAAACGGGAUUAGAUACCCCGGUAGUCCAGGGUGUAAACGCUGCGGGCUUGGUGUUGGGGGUCCUUUGUGGGCGCCCAGUGCCGGAGAGAAGUUGUUAAGCCUGCCGCCUGGGGAGUACGAUCGCAAGAUUGAAACUUAAAGGAAU
rnacentral:rRNA from 1 species